GAUGAACGCUGGCGGCGUGCCUAAUACAUGCAAGUCGAGCGAAGCGGGGACGGGUGAGUAACACGUGGAUAACCUCCUAUAAGACUGGGAUAACUUCGGGAAACCGGAGCGAAACCGGCUGCUUAUAGAUGGAUCCGCGCUGCAUUAGCUAGUUGGUAGGGUAACGGCUUACCAAGGAAACGAUGCAUAGCCGACCUGAGAGGGUGAUCGGCCACAAUGGAACUGAGAAAGGGCCCAGACUCCUCCGGGAGGCAGCAGUAGGGAAUCUUCCGCAAUGGGCGAAAGCCUGAUGGAGCAAGGCCGCGUGAGUGAUGAAGGUCUUCGGAUCGUAAAACUCUGUUAGUAGGGAAGCGGUACCUAAAGAGAAAGCAACGGCUAACUACGUGCCAGCAGCCGCGGUAAUUC
rnacentral:rRNA from 1 species